rnacentral:rRNA from 1 species
AUGGAAGACAUAGCCAUUGGCGUGUGUUACAGUAACCGUGCUUGCAUUUACCGAAUGAAGAGACUCGAAGAGCAAGACUCAAGAAGAUUACUUUUUAAUAAAGUAUUUGGGCCCGAAAAUGUCUGCCAACCACAGUUUAAAGAAAUUUCAACUCAAAUUAUCAAGAAGUGUGGCGGAUUGCCACUUGCAAUUAUCACAAUAGCUAGCCUAUUAGCUAGCCACGAAGCAAGACCGUUGAGUGAAUGGGAGAGCAUAAAGAAUUCUCUUGGUGCCAAUUCUGCCACAAAACCCACCUUGGAAGAGAUGAGGGGUAUACUGAACCUUAGCUACAUGCAUCUUCCUAUUUAUCUUCGGCCAUGUUUUUUGUAUCUUGGCAUGUACCCGGAAGACCGUGAGAUUCCGAGGGAUGAGCUAGUUCGGCAAUGGAUGGCCGAAGGUUUUGUUUGUAGUUCGCAUAGAGCGGAUUUGGAUGAUGUUGCAAAAAGUUAUUUCAAUGAGCUUGUCAAUAGAAGUAUGAUUAAGCCCGGAAGAACAUCUUAUGGGGAGGUAUUUUCUUGCAGAGUGCACGAUAUGAUGCUUGAUUUGAUCCUAAGCAAGAGUAUGGAAGAUAAUUUUAUCAGUGUAGCAUAUAACUAUGAAGACAUGGCAAGAUUGCACAGUUGGAAGUACAAGGUUCGUCGAUUAUCCCUCCAAUCAGGUGUAGGUGGUGCAACAUCGGAGACCCUUGCUACUAGCAUGACACAAGUUCGAUCAUAUGCAUGGUUUCGAGAAUCCCAAUACACUCCUCCCCUUUCACAGUUUAAGUAUCUACGGGUGCUUGCCUUUGAAUUCCCUUCGCUUUUGAAAACCACAGUUGACCUCACUGCAAUCGGCCAUUUGUUUUUACUAAGAUAUUUAAAUGUCUCGGCCUCAUCAGCAGUCAUAGCGUUCCCGACAAAAAUUCAAGGGCUUGUGCAUUUGCAAACUCUUGUGGUAUAUUGCGAGCGGACGCAAAGCUUUCCUUCAGACAUAAGUUGUUUGGCCAACUUGUUUCAUUUGAUGCUUCCAAGAGAUAUAGCGUUGCCUGAAGGUAUCAAGAAGAUGAAAUCACUCCGCACCCUGCAUUGUCGGGACAUGUCGAAGAGUUUGCUGGAGGAUAUCAAAGGCCUUGGUGAGCUGACCAAUCUGAAGGAAUUGUACUUAGACACGAACAAAAACAAUUGCUUGACGUUGGAACAAGAGGAUGCUUUGGUCUCCUCCAUCGGAAUGCUCCAAGAACUCAAGAUCCUUAAGCUCAAGUGGGUGCGUGGAUGGAGCGACACUAGGAGCCAGCUGGAGUCAUUACAUGAUCCUCCUCCUCGUCUCGAGGUACUCUAUCUGCUAUACUGGCAGUCCAAAAGAGUUCCCAAAUGGAUAGGUGAACUAGGCUGCCUCCGGAUCCUCGACCUGGACGUGUUGCACCUGUCGAGUGAUGUGUCAGAUGUCUCGCAAGACAAAGUUGUGGUUGGCAUGGGGUUGUUCCCAGUUCUGGAGCACUUUUCGUUUCAGUCUGAGGAAGAUGUCAAUCCGUACCUGCCCUAG